UGAUCCUGGCUCAGAGCGAACGCUGGCGGCAUGCUUAACACAUGUAAGUCGCACGGAUCUUUCGGGAUCAGUGGCGGACGGGUGAUUAACGCGUAGGGAUCUAUCCACGGGUGGGGGACAACUCCGGGAAACUGGAGCUAAUACCGCAUGAUACCUGAGGGUCAAAGGCGCAAGUCGCCUGUGGAGGAACCUGCGUUCGAUUAGCUAGUUGGUGGGGUAAAGGCCUACCAAGGCGAUGAUCGAUAGCUGGUUUGAGAGGAUGAUCAGCCACACUGGGACUGAGACACGGCCCAGACUCCUACGGGAGGCAGCAGUGGGGAAUAUUGGACAAUGGGCGAAAGCCUGAUCCAGCAAUGCCGCGUGUGUAAAGAAGGUCUUCGGAUUGUAAAGCACUUUCGACGGGGACGAUGAUGACGGUACCCGUAGAAGAAGCCCCGGCUAACUUCGUGCCAGCAGCCGCGGUAAUACGAAGGGGGCUAGCGUUGCUCGGAAUGACUGGGCGUAAAGGGCGCGUAGGCGGUUUAUGCAGUCAGAUGUGAAAUCCCCGGGCUUAACCUGGGAACUGCAUUUGAGACGCAUAGACUAGAGGUCGAGAGAGGGUUGUGGAAUUCCCAGUGUAGAGGUGAAAUUCGUAGAUAUUGGGAAGAACACCGGUGGCGAAGGCGGCAACCUGGCUCGAUACUGACGCUGAGGCGCGAAAGCGUGGGGAGCAAACAGGAUUAAAUACCCUGGUAGUCCACGCUGUAAACGAUGUGUGCUGGAUGUUGGGUAAC
rnacentral:rRNA from 1 species